GUAUCUGACUCCUUGAAACCCCAUGGACUGUAGCCUGGCAGGCUCCUCCAUCCAUGGGAUUAUCCAGGCAAAAUACUGGAAUGGGUUGCCAUUUCCUUCUCCAGAGGAUCUUCCCAACCCAGGGAUCAAACUCGGGUCUCCUUCAUUGCAGACAGACUCUACCGUCUGAGCCUGUAAAAGGUUAUCUGUGGACAUCUUGGCACCUCUACAAACUAUAAUCUCCCUGAAGGUGGCACUUGGGAUUUACUACAUUGUAAGGAUUAAAAAUGUUUUUUGGAAAAAGCAAAUAGAAAUUUUGACAUGAGUCAUGACACUCUGGAAAAAACUCAUGCACGAUUUAUAAUAUUACUGUAAACUUCUGGUUUUGUCUUGAACUCUGUCUUUCUGAAACCUUUGCAAUGUUCAUGAGAAUCUUUCUUAAUGUUGUUAAAAACAAAACAAC
ensembl:lncRNA